rnacentral:lncRNA from 1 species
UUUUUUCUCUCCAUAUUUUUUGCUCUAUAUUAAUGUAACGCCCCAAUAGUCCCACAUCGGAUGGGAUACUGAUUCUGAUCGAUUUAUAUGAGUCAUACAUGCUAGGUGCUUAAGCAUUUUGGGCCGAUGGUUUGGGCCCAACGAGUUAUUAUUGCUGGCGGGUCGGGUCGUUAUAAUUGGUAUCAGAGUCGAAUACCGGCCGGAAGUGUGAGAACUAAGUGCUAUGCGGGAUAAAGUGCUACACUAACGGGUUUGGUGGGAGCCACCUCUAGAAUCUCACAUCGGUAAUGGUCCUGAUUUGUCUGUCUGUGAUCUGAUUUGGACCCGACGAGCAAGUCAGGGACCACAUCGGAUGGGAUACUGAUUUCGAUCAGUUUAUAUGAGACCUCCUGGUUUGUCUGUCUGUAAUAACCGCGCUUAAGUAUUUUGGACCGGUGGUUUGGGCCCAACGAGUUAUUGUUGCUAGCGGGUCGGGUCGUUGCAAUUAAACUGCCAAAACUAUUAGUCUCGUGUAUGACUACAUUAAGGGCGUGUUUGGUUCGCUUCUUUUUCACCCUGAAAUCGGAAUCGGAAUGGAUAAAUCCGUUUGUGGGUGUUUGGUACGCGGGAGUUCCAUUCCGAUUCCAAUUCCCGAGUGGAAUGGGAAUCCCCCAAUCACCUCUUUUUUCAAUCCGGCCUAGGAGGCCGGAUUGAAAGUUGAAUCCGGACGGAAUGAAUAUUUAUUCGGAUUAAAUUUAUUUUUUCAACUUUUUUAAUUAAAAUAUGAGUUAAAAUUUUAAAAUUAAAUAUAUAAUUUUAAAUUUUAAUUUAAACUUAAAUUAAAANCUACUGUUCUACUAAGUAGAUAGAAAAUAUUUACUAUCAACGUUUUAGUUCUUUGAUAUAUAUAUAUAUAUAUAUAUAUAUAUAUAUAGUAGUAGCAAUAUCUAAGCCUACAACUCUAGACAUCAAAGUUUAAGAAGUUAAUGGUAAAUAUUCCAGCUCCUCUAGUUUUUAUUUUUAUUAGGGGAAACUUCAAGAAACCCGCCUGUGGUUUCCAACUUUCUCAUUUUAGUAUCUUGUGGUUUAAAGUGUAUCAAUUUGUCUCUAUGUUGUUUUAUUUUUAUCUUUUCUAUAGCUUUUCUCUUAAUAUUUCGUUAAAUUAUAUACAAAAAACAUCAGAUAUCCAUCUAGAUUUAUCUAAUAUUUACUUUAGUAUCUUUUAAUUUUAAUUUUGUCACUGAUUUAAGAAAAAAAAAAUUGGUAAAAAAAAAGAGAAAAACAAAACCACAGGGGACAAAUUGAUACACUUUAAAUCACAGGAUACUAAAAUGAGAAAAUACGAAACCACAGGGAUGGUUUCUGAAGUUAUCCUUUUUUAUUAUUUCUAGGACUAGUCUACAAAUGACUAGUGAUUUUUUUUUUGGAAAAAAAGAAAGCAAGCCAUAUAUUCGUUUUAUUUAUUGGAGUUUCAAAACUGAAGUUAAUUAUCAAUUUCGAUGCAUGUCUACCACUUAUCUUCUAUCUCUUUCAUUUUAAAAUUGUUUUCAAUGGGAGGGAUCAAUAGCUACAUAUAUGCCUUUCCAUCUGCUCCUACCAUUGUUACGUUUCUCAAGCUCUGUAUAUUUAGCAUGUUUAAUUAGCUAAUGUUAAGCUUGUUGCACAUAGAUUACUAUUCUUGAAACAACAAGAGGUUUUUAAGGUGAGAAUUUUUUCUCUCCAUAUUUUUUGCUCUAUAUUAAUGUAACGCCCCAAUAGUCCCACAUCGGAUGGGAUACUGAUUCUGAUCGGUUUAUAUGAGACCUACAUGCUAGUAAUAAUAACUAUGCUUAAGCAUUUUGGGCCGGUGGUUUGGGCCCAACGAGUUAUUAUUGCUGGCGGAUCGGGUCGUUGCAAUUGGUAUCAGAGUCGAAUACCGGCCGAAAGUGUGAGAACUAAGUGUCAUGCGGGAUAAAGUGCUACAUUAACGGAUUUGGUGGGAGCCACCUCUAGAAUCUCACAUCGGUAAUGGUCCUGGUUUGUUGUCUGUGAUCUGAUUUGGACCCGACGAGCAAGUCAGCGACCACAUCGGAUGGGAUACUGAUUUCGAUCAGUUUAUAUGAGACAUCCUGAUUUGUCUGUCUGUAAUAACCGGGCUUAAGUAUUUUGGACCGGUGGUUUGGGCCCAACGAGUUAUUGUUGCUAGCGGAUCGGGUCGUUGCAAUUAAACUGCUAAAACUAUUG